rnacentral:lncRNA from 7 species
GAAAUGCUCCAGGCCCUAAUCAUCUUGGUGGCCUUAGAUGAGACAACUGAAAAUCCUGUCAUCUUUGACUUCAGCUGUACAAGGAAAGAGGAGGGAAGAUUUGACCCUUACCAGAUGCAAAGUGAAGUAGCAGAAGUGUUUGAAUUUUGCAGGAAUGUCUUGCCUAUUAAGUUCAUGGAGGUUUUGGAAGAUUUUGAAUACUGGAGGAAAUUCUUACCAGCAUUGGGAACUUGCAGGAUGUAACAGGAGAAGAAAAGCAUCUUUCCAUCAGUCUUAUUCUAUAUCCUUGAAUGUUUAGUGCUGGAAGCAAUAUACUGGGAAAAAGGGAUAUUACACCUUAGCAAAAUAUUGGGUUGUUUACCUUUUAUGUCCAAGUAGUACCUCAUGGGAGAACCAAGGUACUUGUUCUGUCAUAGCAGAAAAUUCAGACUAUGAAAGGUUUGGAAGACAUGUGCCUGGCUACGGUUUUUCUCUGCACUUAGCAGUCAAGUUGUAGAGGUCCCUUAUGCGCACACUGUAUAUUGAAAUUGCCAUUAUCUAAUCAGAAACUAGAAUAUUCACUCUAGUGCUGACAUUAAAGCAAAUAAAUGGGAUUGUUUAAACUUUGUGAGAGCUUUGAGACUUCAUUCACUCACAUUUGAAGUUUUAGUUUCUAUCCCCAUUUUGCAUUCCCAUUUGAAGGCAACGUGUGCCACACACAGAUUUUCCAAAAAAAAAGAUGUGUCCCUAAGUUCAUACAACUGGAACAUUUCCUGCAUUCCUGGUUUGAAAUAUCACUUUUUUCAAACAAUUCAUCCCCUAGACAUUUUGUUUUUGCGCCCCGUCUUUUCUGGGCCACCUCUGAUACGAUACCAAUGAGUAAAAGGAAUCACUUGUACUCACUUACAGGAAAGAAGUCUCUGGAUGGCAGCAAAGCAUAGCAAAAUUGCUGCCGAUUCAUGGGAAAAAAUCUCCUGAAUCCAAUUUAAUUUGACUUAGCAUACUAAUAAAAGCUUGGUAUUCUUUUGGCUGCAGCUCUUUAUCUGUUUCUCAUUAACUGAAGUCUGAUACAAGUCUCCUCAUACUUAUUUGCAGUGUAUUGGAAGAAAAUGGAAGUUUUGACUUCAAUAGGACUGUACCCUCAGUAUUUAAUUUAUAAGAUUGUUCGUUUGUUUAAUUUUAUUUACACCCUAAAAUACACUCAAAAAUGUAUAGAGAAGGUCAUUCUCCAUAGAGAAUGACUAAUAUUUAGCAUUUAACGUCUCCCUUUUUGAGAUCCUACAGCCAUUUCCCAAGUGUAACUUUAACUUCCAGCUUCUGGGCCUAAAGAUAACCUCUUGCUAGUGAGCAGCAGAGGAAUACAGAAUGCUGGGUCAACUGUCAUCUCUACCCUCUUGAAGGUUAUCCUGAAGAAGCAGUGCUUUAUGGAGUUCUGCUCAGGUUCCUCUGCUUUCAUAGCAUUCUUUUCCUUGAGUUUUUCUGUUGACCUUGUGUGUUCCGCUCUUGAGUUUCAUAGCAUGACAGUGUGAAUUAAACUAUUACCUGGAUACCUGCUUCAUCACAAGAAAUACCAGCUUUUGCUCCCUUGGUCUGGAACUACACCCUAUUGCACACUGGAAGCAAAAGUUAAACAACAGCAGAAAUAAUGAAGUUUUUCUCCUUUAUUGUAAAUAAGUGGUUUCUAGAGAACACCUGUAAAGUGUUACUCUAAAUUUGUAAUUUUAAUUUCAAAAAUGGAAACUGUUUUAGGUUUGAUGUUAUGUUAUUGCCACUUGUUCUUUCUUUUCUUGUUUCUUUUCCGGGUACACCAGAAAUCAAAAGAGUUGAUAUUCUGGUGAAUGAUUUAAACAUGCCUAACUUGGGUUGUUAUGCCUCUGAGCGUCCUCUUGAGCUGCUUUGACAGUCCUCAGAUUUUGGAAGUGUCUGUGACAGGGAUAAACAUUAUUAGAAAUAAAUAAAGGUCACCUCAG